UACGAAGGGAGCUAGCGUUGUUCGGAAUCACUGGGCGUAAAGCGCACGUAGGCGGAUUUGUUAGUCAGGGGUGAAAUCCCGGGGCUCAACCUCGGAACUGCCUUUGAUACUGCAAAUCUAGAGUCCGAUAGAGGUGGGUGGAAUUCCUAGUGUAGAGGUGAAAUUCGUAGAUAUUAGGAAGAACACCGGUGGCGAAGGCGGCCCACUGGAUCGGUACUGACGCUGAGGUGCGAAAGCGUGGGGAGCAAACAGG
rnacentral:rRNA from 1 species